rnacentral:lncRNA from 1 species
UAUGCCGAACCGAUGAAAUCGACGAAAUAGGAACCUCAAAAAUCAACGAUUACAGAAGAAAACCCAGCAAGAUGAGGAAACCCUAGAUUUUUCAGAGAACAGAGAAACUCUGAUGAAAGUUGGUGAGGGUAACAUCGCGAGGAAGCCGGUGACGAGUAGAAUCAAAAUCGCUGCUCUGAUACCAUAUGAAAACAUUGAAUCACAUGGAUUGAUCGAGAUGUAUGUUGAGAGAUUGAAGAGAUGAUAAGAGAGAGAGAGAGAGAGAGAGAGAGAGAGAGAGAGGAAACCGACUGUCUAUCUCUAUUUCUG